AUCACCGUCAUCAAGUCUGUAGGGCUGACCUUAAGGAGUCUGAUACGCAGUGUGGAUGAUAUUCUGCCGACCCUCCACAAGUCCAUUAGGACAGAGAUCGAGGGCACCCAGAAGCUGUUGAACAACGACAUGUCAGAGUUGAUCAGUAAGAUGCGUCUGGCCCAGCAGAACGCCAUCACCUCUCUGAAGGAGGAGUGUAAGAAACAGAUGCUGACUGCAGCACACAACCUGGCCAUGGAUGGGAAGAACCUUCUGGAUGCUGUGGACCAGGCCAGGGUCAGGGCCAACCUGGCCAAGCCCAAACCGGAGACCCCAUAGUGGGGUAAAUACCCACAGGACACCCACUUCUUUUUUUUUUAACUGGAG